GCUGCUGCUGUUUGCCAGCCUCGCCAGCGGUCCUGGGCUUCCUGGAGGAGCACACCCACCCCGCCACCACCCACACCUCCAUCUACAGGUGCCUCCACCUCCUGAUGGGACCAGAGCCACAGGGGCACCACUGGAGAAAACCUGUAUCCAGCCUCACCUGAUUCUCAGAAAAAGAGACUGAAGCCAGAAGGAAAGUCGUUUUCUCAAGGUCACUCAAAGUUAAUCACUGGAGGAACUUGGGCAACCCGCCAUCCCUGAGCUCCUACUGUGUGCUGGGCACUGUGCUAAGCACUGGCACCCAUUAAGGCAACACAUAGGUGGAACACAAUGAGGCAGGCUGAACCAGAAGCCAAGCGCGUUUGGCUGCCAUUCCGGGCUCUUACCUCUUCCACACACACCUACGUCUAAAGCCCUGGUCGUGCUGGUAGUGCCCAAGAGCAGGGCCCAGCCAGCCCUGGGCCUCGCACUCCUAGAGGUGGAGCUCCCAGCCCAGUGCUCCUAGACCAUGGGAUGGCCCUAGCUUCCGUUCUCGGGAAACAACAUCGAGUCCUCUGGAGCCAGCCUCCUCUGCACCUGCACUUCUGCCAUCAGUACUUCCUCCUCUGACGAGUCUCCUCCUCUUACUGACCACUGCAGACCCCAGGAACAAGGAGACCUCACACCUGGUGACUGUCACCACAGACGCUUCUCAUGGCAUGAUGGGAUAGAUUCAAACCCACAGACGCCACAGCCUUGGCCUUCUCACUCUGAGCAUCCUCAGCAGUGCAAGAGGGCGAAGGGGGCACAGGGAACGGCUUACCGGACUU